rnacentral:rRNA from 1 species
AGCAGCCGCGGUAAUUCCAGCUCCAAUAGCGUAUAUUAAAGUUGUUGCAGUUAAAAAGCUCGUAGUUGAAUUUUAGGCCUGACCGGGCGGUCCGUCUCUGGCGAGUACUGUCUGUUGUCGGGUCUAUCCUUCUGGUGAGCCGGUAUGCCCUUUAUUGGGUGUGUCGGGGAACCAGGACCAUUACCUUGAAAAAUUAGAGUGUUUAAAGCGGGCUUUUGCUUGAAUAGAUUAGCAUGGAAUAAUAGAAUAGGACGUUGGUUCUAUUUUGUUGGUCUAGGACCACCGUAAUGAUUAAUAGGGAUAGUUGGGGGCAUUAGUAUUCAAUUGUCAGAGGUGAAAUUCUUGGAUUUAUUGAAGACUAACUACUGCGAAAGCAUUUGCCAAGGAUGUUUUCAUUAAUCAAGAACGAAAGUUAGGGGAUCGAAGACGAUCAGAUACCGUCGUAGUCUUAACCAUAAACUAUGCCGACUAGGAAUCGGGCGACGUUAUUCUCAUGACUCGCUCGGCGCCUUAUGGGGAA